ACAUUAAAUGUAAUAUAUGAGUUAUUACCAUAUUUUAAAAAAUUUACCAAAAAUAUAAAUUAACAUUAAAUGCAAUUGUCCAUGUCAUAUUAAGCUAUAAGACAUGUCAUCAAUUUCAGUAGCCAUGUCAUAUUUGUUUUGUGAAAUUGAUUGUAGAAAGUACAUGUGGCAAAAUCACUUUGUAAAUAUAGUCUAGGGGAUUUUGUGUGGCAGAUAAGACCUCAUAUUGGUGGACGAGUAUUAUUGCAAAAAAAAAAACAUUAAUAUUGUUGGAAAUUAGAGAAAAGGUACACUCCGAGAAUGAUAUUAGAGUUUCAGAAGACCUUUGGUUACCAACAAUACCAGCAAGACCAGAUAGACCAAUAGCACCGGUGGUCCACCCAAUGAUGUUAGCACGAUACUUAAUGGCAAGGAACCCCAAAAGGUAGGAUUCAGAGAUGCUUGUGAACUAUGUCAGUUUGGAGGAUAUUCCAUUGAUUCAAUCUUUGGUCAUAAGCCAAAGAUAUCAUCGGGAUGAGUAUUGUUGGAGCUGUGCUAAGAAUGGAAUGUACACUGUCAAGUCCGGAUACUGGAAGACGGUAGACCCUCGGGUAGAGCCGAGUAUUACUAAACUCCAAGCCUUUGUCUGGAAGGUACAGCUCUGUCAAAGCUAAAACACUUUCUUUGUCAAACAAUAUUUGGACAAUUAGCAAUGACAAGCAACCUAACACAUCGUCAUAUGCGAUGCGACAACCACUGCCCCAGACGUGGAGCAGAGGACAAAACUAUAAACCAUGCCAUUUUUGAAUGUCCCGCAGCUCUACAGACAUGGACACAUGCAGCAACUCCAACUCCACCAGAGAAGUUCCCCAGUGCAAGCCACUAUAUAAACAUAGAUUAUCUGUUUUGGCGGAAGAAAGAUAUUGAAGACCCUGAGUUGGAUAAAGAUCCAUACUCUUAGAUUAUGUAGUAUAUUUGGAAAGCGCAAAAUGAUAAAUUAUUCAAAAGAAUAGACAGAGACCCAUAGAAACUGUCAAACAUGCUGAGUCAGAAUGUCAUGAUUGAUUUGAAGUAAAUCGCAAACAGAGAGAACCAGAGGUUGUACAAAAUCAUGAACAAGUAGUAAAUUCUGAAAGAUGGAUGAACAUGGGUAACUUCUUGGAUGAAUCAUGAACAAGUAGCACAAAACCAGCAGCGAAAAAUCUCACCCUUUCACUAGGAGCUGGAGGUCCUCUCAUGAGGGAUGGAAUGAUGCUCCAGCUAUCGACGUGUCAGACUUUUGGCACCGACUGCAAGGAUUUAGUUUUCAUGAUUCAAGAUCCAGGAGCAUGGCCUAAUUUUUCCACGGAGUUAAAGGAGCUGAUGAAACUGAAGAGUAGAUUCACUAAUUUCUCGAUUGUCUUUAUUCCUCAUUCUAAAAAUGUAUCUUCUGAUUCAUUAGCUAAGAUAGCAAAAUCCUUUCAUAGGGACAUAUACUACAUUGGUUGUUCUGUUCCGAUCUGGAUUUUCAGACCACCUCAAUCUCGAGUAAUAGAGCAGUCGUUUGAUGUUAAAAAAAAUCUUUCGUUAAAAAAAUUAAGUGAAAAAACGUGUCAAUUUUCAGAUGAUGGAUUUAAUUUACGCCAAAAAAGAGUUAUGAAAACUUGAAGGAAAAUAAAAAUAAAGUAAAGAUACCUUAACAGACAACAUGCCAGGUACAUAUUAACGAGAAAAGAAAAAAAAAGAACACGUCAAUUACAGAAAUUGUGAUUUCUCCACGAUUCUCUUCUGAUUGUAUAAAUGGCAAUCUCCCUAUACAUUAAAAGAGAAGUCACUUUAGUGAUUUCUGCUUAGGUGGCACUCAUAUAGAGCUUUUCAGGAAAAUCCUUAUAAUUCUAUUGGCUGAUUUUUUUGGAAUUUUUCUUUUUCAUUUAUUUUUUUCACUCUCCUCCGCGUUUACUCAAACGCCGUCGUAUAACCCAAAUAUAUUGUCGAUAGAUGUUAAGCCCAUAUAAUUAGAUAACUUGCGCAAGAUUGUAAGCUAAUUUGCAUAUUAAUAAUUUUCCUUAUUAUUCGAAUCAAUUGCUUGCGCCGGUUGUUUUCGUAUUUAUUACAUUACUUGCACAAGUUAAAAUCAUAUCAUAUGCAAAUCAAUUUAUGACAAUACACAAUUAAUAUCUUUCUUUAAACGAUUUCAAUUUUUAUUAGGGGUCAUUAAUAUGUUAAAUAAAUCGGCUUAAUAUAUAUAUGAGAAACCCGAAUGCUUAAAAUACAAACAUUCAGGUCUAACAAGAACAAUGACAAUGGUGCGAGCCAAAAAAAAUAUUGUUUCUUAUGUGAGAGAAUUAAAACCCCGUAAAGAUACGUCGCGUAUUGAAGUUAGGAUUGUUCGCUUGUGGAGAAACUAUAACAAAGAAUCAGGAAACACCAUUAAAAUGGUGGUUGUUGAUAAAGAAGUAAGUAUACAUCACACAACAUGGAUUUUCAUGGAAGCAUCGUUUAUAUACUUAUUCUGCAUUUAUAAAACUCUUAUAAUUUUUGUGACCAGGGGACAAGAAUUCAUGCUUCAGUUGGUGAACAACUCAUCAAAAAUUUCUAUGACAAGCUACGCGAGGGAGAUGCGAUUGUCCUCCAGUUGUUCAAAGUGUACGAUGCAACUGGUGAAUACCGUACAACGCCACAUCCUUACAAAAUUGGCUUCUUUCAAACAACUUUUGUUGGAAACUGAUGAUUUUCCAAGUGCAGUUCUCGAAAAGUAUUUCGCUGACUUCUCUGAUAUUCUUGGUGGAAAUCUGGAUCAUAGUUGUUUGGUUGAUGUGGUUGGCCAAAUAGUUAACGUUGGGUCUCUGGAAAACAAAAUAAUAAAAGGAAAAGACAACAUGAGGCUCUUGGUUGAGUUGCGUGACCCAAAUAAUGUGAAGAUGAUGUGUACUCUGUGGGGUUGUUAUGCUAAACAAGUAUACGAUUACAGUAGGAGUAACAUGCCGACCAUGAUUAUUUGUGUUAUCAGAUUCUGUUAUGUUAAAGAGUGGAAAUAUAUAUUCGAAUUGUUUCAAUUUGUGUAAAAUGAUUGCGAGCAUAACAUAUUAAUAAGAUCAAUAUACUUUGUAGGUGCUUAUUCCAUAUCUAACGGGUAUAAUUCAACCCAUAUUCUGCUCAACCCAACACUUGAUUUUAUUGAGGAGUUCAAAGCAAGGUACGUGUCAUGCAUCUUACGUUCCAGACCUAUGGAGGAGUUCAAUACAUAUAGAUGUUUAUUUUAAUUUUUGAACGUCAUUUUCACUGAAACGUUUUUAAAUUAUGUGUGAUUAUUUGAUUGCAAAUAAGUUAGCAUAUUAAAUUGCAAAUAAGCCAAAAUAUUUCAAAGCAGUCAAACAACCUAGAAAAUUAAUAAUCGAAUCAGCUACCUUUUUUUAUUAGACCGGAUAUUAGUUCCACCAAUAAUCGUGGUCAACUUACCAACAUGGUGCAUAUAUGUCAAAUGGAAAAAUCUACGUUUAAGUAACCCAACCUGUAAGGGAUUUAGUUUUUUUUUUUGUGAAUCUCGUGGACUGAUCUAUCGCAGAUUGGGGUUCAUAGGUGAAGUUUCAAGAAAUUGUUAUAAUUUGAUUGGUCGAUUGUUUUUAAUUUUUAUUUAUUUAAUUAAGAUCUAAAAAUUUAAGAUAAGUCUAAAAUCAUUUAACAUCACUUGCCAUAUAAUCUAACGAAUAUUACAAAUAACAAUUUAUGGAAACUAAUUCUCGAAAUUAUAGAAAGAUUAAUAAUGUUUUAUUUAUUACUUUUAAUAUUUAUAAACUAUAAAA